rnacentral:rRNA from 1 species
GGAGUCCGAGUUGUAAUUUUGAGAACUGUUUUCUGUGCUGGACCAUAUACAAGUCUGUUGGAAAACAGCAUCAUUGAGGGUGAUAAUCCCGUAGAUGAUAUGGACUACCAGUGCAAUAUGAUACAGUCUCUAAGAGUCGAGUUGUUUGGGAAUGCAGCUCAAAGAGGGUGGUAAAUUCCAUCUAAGGCUAAAUAUAGGUGAGAGACCGAUAGCAAACAAGUACCGUGAGGGAAAGAUGAAAAGAACUUUGGAAAGAGAGUUAACAGUACGUGAAAUUGUUAAAAGGGAAACAUUUGAAGUUAGACUUGUUAUUAUUGGUUCAGCUUCUCUUUUUUAAUUAGGAGUUUAUUCCAAUGGUUGACAGACCAGCAUCAAUUUUUGAGUGUUAGAUAAGGGUCUUGGAGAAUGUGGCAACUUUGGUUGUGUUAUAGCUCCUGGCUUGAUAUAAUGCUUAAGAUUGAGGAAC